UAUGUGAUCGUCUCUCGCAUAUCAAUAAGCGGAGGAAAAGAAACUAACAAGGAUUCCCCUAGUAACGGCGAGUGAAGCGGGAAGAGCUCAAAUUUGAAAUCUUAAAGGGUUUCCCUUUACGAAUUGUAGUUUAAAGAAGUGUUUUCUGUUGAGGUUUUGGUAAAAGUUCUUUGGAAUAGGACAUCAUAGAGGGUGAGAAUCCCGUAUUUGACCUUUACUUUCAACUUUGUGAUACACUUUCAAAGAGUCGGAUUGUUUGGGAAUGCAGUCCAAAAUGGGUGGUAAAUUUCAUCUAAAGCUAAAUAUUGGCGAGAGACCGAUAGCGAACAAGUACCGUGAGGGAAAGAUGAAAAGAACUUUGGAAAGAGAGUUAAACAGUACGUGAAAUUGUCAAAAGGGAAGCGUUUGACACCAGUGUUGUUUUUCUGAAAAUCAAUUAAAGAACUGUUUAUGCUAAGCUGUUUAGACUUUAUCAGCUAUCUGUUUAGUUUUGAGCUUUUCUUUAAUGCACUUUUCAGUUAACAAGUCAACAUCAAUUUCUUUUGCUGUAAAAAAGCUUGAGGAAGGUGGCUUGAGAUUCGUCUUAAGUGUUUCAUAGCCUCUUGCCUAUGCAGUCGGAGAGAUUGAGGUCUGCAGCGUAGAUCCUUCGGGGCUAAAUGCAUUUGUGCUAAGUUAUAGCAUUUUAUAGACAACUUGUUGACUAUGAUUUGUCUUGUAGCUUACUCGCUUAUGUUAUUUUACCUACGCUUAGGAUGUUGAAGAUAUGCGCGACACG
rnacentral:rRNA from 1 species